rnacentral:pre_miRNA from 1 species
GAUGAAUAGACAAGAUCCUCUCUCAACAGUAAUUGUUCUCGCGGGACAGGUUCGGACUUCUCCAUUGUUGCUAAGAUUUGAACUUGAAAACGGUAGAAUUGAGUCUUGGACUCUUCAUGAAAGUUUUAGGUCUAUGUCUUAACUUUCCAUC